rnacentral:rRNA from 1 species
UGUUGGUGAUGGUACGGCUCACCAAUGGCCGCGAUGGGUAGCCGGCCUGAGAGGGUGAUCGGCCACACUGGAACUGAGACACGGUCCAGACUCCUACGGGAGGCAGCAGUGAGGAAUUUUGCGCAAUGGGCGAAAGCCUGACGCAGCGACGCCGCGUGGAGGACGAAGGCCUUCGGGUCGUAAACUCCUGUCAAGCGGGACGAAUCCUGAGAGGAUGAAUAAGCCUCUCAGUUGUCGGUACCGCUGGAGGAAGCCCCGGCUAACUCCGUGCCAGCAGCCGCGGUAAUACGGAGGGGGCCAGCGUUGUUCGGAAUUAUUGGGCGUAAAGGGCGCGUAGGCGGCUGUGCAAGUCGGUGGUGAAAGCCCUCGGCUCAACCGAGGAAUUGCCCCCGAAACUGCACGGCUGGAGUCCCGGAGAGGGUAGUGGAAUUCCCAGUGUAGCGGUGAAAUGCGUAAAUAUUGGGAGGAACACCCGUGGCGAAAGCGGCUUACUUGGACGGGUACUGACGCUGAAGCGCGAAAGCGUGGGGAGCAAACAGGAUUAGAUACCUGGUAGUCCCCGCCUAACGAUGGC